CAUGGACUUUCCUUUUCAGAAAAGGAACUUCAGGCCCUACUGAACUGGCAACCCCAACGUUGAGGGAGAGUCCCGCCCUUAGAUUGCCCAAUGCGCUGGGUUGUGGUAAGACCAAGGCUUGUCCAAUUCCUGUCAACUCCAAGACGUGGAAGAAAUUCCUUGUGAGACAAGAAAGUCUGCGGAGAAGAGCUUUAAAAUCCACAGCCCUGGUGCCUUCAUUUAGAUGAAUCCAAGUUCUCACUCUACCUCGCACUCCACAUGUAGCAACAGAGAGACACAUGCAGGUGAGGGCGCACACACUCAGCGUUCACACACACUCUGCGUGGAGGGCUUCCUCGUCCUCUCCUGCCCCCAACCCUGGAGUCCAGGAUUUCCCAGAGGAACAAAACAGGACCAGUCUGAGUGAGGUCACUCCCUCGUUAAAGACAAUCCUGCAACUGGAAGGCAACUCCCUGGGGAAGGUCUGUAAGUUCAAACCUUACUAUUAGGUUCUCAGCUGUGACAGUG
rnacentral:lncRNA from 1 species